rnacentral:rRNA from 1 species
UCUGGUCUUGGGACACUGUCAGGUGGGCAGUUUGACUGGGGCGGUCGCCUCCCAAAAGGUAACGGAGGCGCUCAAAGGUUCUCUCAGUACGGUCGGAAAUCGUACGUAGAGUGUAAAGGCAAAAGAGAGCUUGAUUGCAAGACAUACAGGUCGAGCAAGGAUGAAAAUCGGACUUAGUGAUCCGGUGGGUCUGCGUGGAAGGGCCAUCGCUCAACGGAUAAAAGCUACCCUGGGGAUAACAGGCUUAUCUCCCCCAAGAGUCCACAUCGACGGGGAGGUUUGGCACCUCGAUGUCGGCUCAUC